AGUUAAGCGCCAGACACUCGGGAAGAGUGUUAACGAGGAGGAAGAUCAUCGAAUUUUCGGCGGAUAUCUUCCCGGCAGAGUGAACUGCCGCAUACCGUUUACAAAACAGCGGGCAACCGCUCCACAAAAGAACGGUG
rnacentral:ncRNA from 1 species